rnacentral:rRNA from 1 species
AUUGAACGCUGGCGGCAUGCCUUACACAUGCAAGUCGAACGGUAACAGGUCUUCGGAUGCUGACGAGUGGCGAACGGGGGCGUAAUACACAGGAACGUGCCUAGGCGUGGGGGAUAACUACUCCAAAGAGUGGCUAAAACUGAAUCCGAUCUACGGAGGAAAGCAGGGGAUGGCAAGACUCGGUGCUACUAGAGCGGCCGAUGGCAGAAUAGGUAGUUGGUGGGAUAAAAGCUUACCAAGCCGACGAUCUGUAGCUGGUCUGAGAGGACGAUCAGCCACACUGGGACUGAGACACGGCCCAGACUCCUACGGGAGGCAGCAGUGGGGAAUUUUGGACAAUGGGCGAAAGCCUGAUCCAGCAAUGCCGCGUGCAGGAAGAAGGCCUUCGGGUUGUAAACUGCUUUUGUACGGAACGAAAAGCCCCGGGUUAAUACCCUGGGGUCAUGACGGUACCGUAAGAAUAAGCACCGGCUAACUACGUGCCAGCAGCCGCCGUAA